rnacentral:antisense_RNA from 1 species
UCUAGAUAUACAGAAAGUCCACCUCGUCUUUAGAUGGGAUGGACUUUUUCUAUUUUUAGGUGCUAUCUUUAUUGUUAU